rnacentral:rRNA from 1 species
UACGUAGGGUGCGAGCGUUGUCCGGAUUUAUUGGGCGUAAAGAGCGUGUAGGCGGCCAGGUAGGUCUGCUGUGAAAACUCGAGGCUCAACCUCGAGACGUCGGCGGAAACCAUCUGGCUAGAGUCCGGAAGAGGAGAGUGGAAUUCCUGGUGUAGCGGUGAAAUGCGCAGAUAUCAGGAAGAACACCCGUGGCGAAAGCGGCUCUCUGGGACGGUACUGACGCUGAGACGCGAAAGCGUGGGGAGCGAACAGG